AAGUGGAGGAGUCGGGAUUAGAAUCCAGUGCCUGCACAAACCAGCACUUGCUAGAUGUUACCCUCAAGGAACUUUCCAGAUAGUCAAAAUUUCCAACAAGAAUAGAUGCGCUAGUUGGACCAGACUGAAGUCUCCCUACUUCCUAAUCACAGUUCCUGUCCCUUUUUAGGAUCAUCCAACACAAACACAUCAAGAAAACACCUCUUUGCUGGCAACGAUUAGUUCUUAAAUUGAUAACCCCCUCUAGGACUUUCAUUUCCCAUCCCUCUUAGAAGUAUUAUCAUAAGGAACUGCAAUGCUCUAAUCGAAUACAGUGUAUGGUACUGGUAAUCCUUUCUUCCUUAGACGUUUUCUACCAAAAAAUCCUGCAAAGGAAACGAAAACAAGAAACAAUGCUUGGAGAAUGUUACAUCAGUAGAACAUCAACUGACUCGACCCCAGAAGAGAUUUUUCUUAACCACCCUGCCGCUGUGGUAUCUUCCAAUAAAAUACAAUUACGUUAUU